rnacentral:lncRNA from 1 species
CCCAGAACACAAAUGUCCUUAUAAAGGAAAGAGAGAAGGAGGAGAGUCAGAGAAGAUGUGAAACCAGAAGUGAAGGUCAGAGAGAGAAACGAGGAGUGAGGAAUGAUAAAAUAUUGAGAUAUUGAAGAAGAGAGCACAUGCCAAAACUGCAGCCUCUGGCAGACACAAUAGGAAUGGAAAUAGAUUCUUCCCUAAAAUAUGCAGAAGAAAUACAGCUCUACCAGCAUCUUGAUAUUAGCCCACAAGAUUCACUUUGGACUUGACUUCCAUAACUGUAAGAAAAUAAUUUAUGUCAUUUUAUGCCAUUCACUUUGUGGUAGUUUGUUGUAGCAAUAAUAGGAAACUAACAUAGUGCUCAUUUUUUAAGUGAAUUAUACGCUGCAUCUUAAAAUAAAAGAAGUAAUUUUAAUAAGUCACUUAAAAUAGUUCAAUAACUUGCGUUUUAAGACAAUGUCAUUUGCUUGUUUAAUUGAUCAUGAAUAUAUGUUGGAAAAAGAUCCCAUAUUGUUGGAAAUCCUUGAAGGGAUGAGAUAAGAAUCAAGUUAUGGACUGAUUUAUGUCCUCCUCAAUCAUUGAAGUUCAACAUUAAAGCCUAAUCUCCAUUUUUACUGUAUUUGAAAAAAAAAAAAAAAGGACCUUUGAGCAGGAACUAAGUUUAAAUGAGUUCACAAGGAUGGGCCCUAAUUCAAUAACAUUGGUGUCCUUAAGUGGAGAGAAAGAAACACCAGAGAUCUUCCCCACCCCUUGGCAUGUGUGCACACAGAAAGGUUAUUUGAAGACGCAGUAGGAAGGUGCUAUCUGGAAGCCCAGGAGAAAGCUGUCACCAGAAACUUACCUGCCAUCACUUCGACCUUAGACUUCCAGUUCCCAGGACUAAAGGAAAAUAAAUUUCUGUUUUCUAUGCAACUCAAUCUGCAGUAUUUUGUUGUGGCAGCUCAACCAGAUUAAUAAAGUCUCCAAGGAAACUACUAAGCAAAUAGUCUUUCAAUGUUUGGUUGAAUAGUAAUCUUCUAAUUUUGAGCAGAUUUAUAUUUUUUUUUCUUGAAUAAGAAUUCAUAGUGGCCAUGCUAGGUUUCUGAUAGAACACACUGUGAAAAGUAUUAUGAAAUAAAAAUUAUGAAAUUAUGCUGCUCAAAUAAUGACCCCUCAACUUCAUCAUAAUUUAAAAUCAAUAAAUAUUUAAAUCUCCCAAUAAAGUUCAUUAUCAUUAUCCAGGAUUUCUAAUUUAAUGGCCACAUGUUUCUAAUAACUACUUUCUCAGAAAUUUAAUGAUUCUGUAGCCAGUAUCUCAAUUCAUUUUUUGUAUCCCUUACACUAUUUUUAUUAUCCUUUUUAAACCUUCUUGGUUUCUAUCUGCCUUACAUGAAUAGAAACAAGAAAAAAAAAUCUUUGUUUUAUUCUCAACUAUAUCCUGGAAAUUCGAAAUCAAUGUCAUACUUAAUAGAUGCUCAAAAAAUGUUUUAAUAUCACAAGUUUAAAGCCAGCCUCAGUAACUUACUUAGGCCUUGAGAAACUUAGCGAGAUCUUGUCUCAAAAUAAAAACUAAAAGAGCUAAGAAUGUGGUUCGGUGUUUAAGCACUCCUGAUUUCAAUCCCCAGCACCAAAAUAAUAAUAAUAAUAAUAAUAAUAAUAAUAAUAAUAAUAAUAAUAAUGGAACAAUCACCACAAAAUUAAUUAAUAUUUAAAUUCAUGAAAGUUUGUUAAAUCUCAUUUUUUUCUUUAAUACCUAGUAUCUAUAAUACAUGCUUCUUCAAAGUAAAUUCCCUUCUAAUAUAUGGCAUUGCUAUCAAAAUCAUGAUCCAGAUGAGAUAAAGUUCUAGAUUCUGGAAACUAAUUAGUACCCAGAUUUAAUUGAUUGUUAUAGAUUAUUAGUGAAGGUGCAAAUAUUAGAAAAUGGAAUAUGCAAAAUCAAUGUGAGUUGGAGGACAACUGAUAGUCACUGAGGAGACUUAUCAGUGUAUCAAUGUACCAAUGAAAAUAAGUCAAAAUGUAAUAGUCACAAUUUAUUGAACAUUAGCCUGGCAUGGUGUUGGCACACACCUGUAAUCACAGCUACUUGGGGGUAUGAAACAGGAAUAUGACAAAUUCAAGGCCAGACUGGGUAACUUAGCAAUUCCAUCUCUAAAAUAACAAAAUAAACUAAAAUGAAGGGAAGAGGAUGUAUCCUAGGACAGAACAUCUUCCUAGUGUGUGUGAAGCUCUGGGUUUAAUCACUAGUACUGAAAAAGAAAAUAAUGAAUACUAGUUAUUUUCUAGAUAUGUAAAAGUUAGUAGUGUAUGUGUGAUAUAAUAUUUGGAAAAGUGAACCAAUAGUUUUUUUCCUAUAUACUUGUCUUAGGAUUCAUAUUUAUUGUCACUUAAUACUUUCUACAGAGAGAAGAUACAUCCUAGAAUAAAUAAGCUAAAUGAAAUUCUCAGUAAUUUCUUUUCAACUUGAAGCAAGGAGAAUAGCCACACAAAAAAGAAAGAAAAAAAAACAUUUUUUUAAGUUGCAAGACUUUGGUAUUUUAAGCUAUAUGUAUAAAUUCACCUCUGGGUCAUAAAGGGACAAAUCAAAGAAAGAGCAUAGAGUUUUUGUUGAAAAUCUUAAUACAAAUAAUGUGGGGCAUAGCAGAAAGUGCUGCCUACUUAAUGAGAAAAAGAUAAAAUAUUUUUUUCUGAAUAGAUGGGGGAAAUUUUGAAAGGGACAAUAAGGAAGGAUGAAAGACCCAAUCAUGACAUUUUCUUGUGAUUUCUUUACAGGCUUCCUCUGGGAUCAAACUUCUGCAAAUAAGUGGAAAAUUCCAAGUAGGUGAAUGAAUAUCAGAGUGUGUUAGAUCUUCUAUAAUAAUAGAUUAAACUGACUCACCAGCAGAUCCACCCUCAACACUGUGGAGAUCAUAACCCACUUAGCAAUAAACACCACCUACCUGAAGAGGCUUCUAGGUAGUCUGUUAAAUGGGAGUUUACCUUUCCUUGUCAUCUGUGUUCUCUCUGCCUAUUGUUUACAGGCAAGCUCUACAAAUUGAAUCCUUCAAUAGUACCAAAAAAGGAACAGAAUUGAAGUUUUAAAAUAAAAUAAAACUCUUCUCUUUAUCUUCA